rnacentral:rRNA from 1 species
AGUGAACGCUGGCGGUAGGCCUAACACAUGCAAGUCGAACGGCAGCACAGUAAGAGCUUGCUCUUACGGGUGGCGAGUGGCGGACGGGUGAGGAAUACAUCGGAAUCUACUUUUUCGUGGGGGAUAACGUAGGGAAACUUACGCUAAUACCGCAUACGACCUACGGGUGAAAGCAGGGGAUCUUCGGACCUUGCGCGAUUGAAUGAGCCGAUGUCGGAUUAGCUAGUUGGCGGGGUAAAGGCCCACCAAGGCGACGAUCCGUAGCUGGUCUGUGAGGAUGAUCAGCCACACUGGAACUGAGACACGGUCCAGACUCCUACGGGAGGCAGCAGUGGGGAAUAUUGGACAAUGGGCGCAAGCCUGAUCCAGCCAUACCGCGUGGGUGAAGAAGGCCUUCGGGUUGUAAAGCCCUUUUGUUGGGAAAGAAAAGCAGCAGGUUAAUACCCCGCUGUUCUGACGGUACCCAAAGAAUAAGCACUGGCUAACUUCGUG